rnacentral:rRNA from 1 species
UACGAAGGGGGCUAGCGUUGCUCGGAAUGACUGGGCGUAAAGGGCGCGUAGGCGGUUCAUACAGUCAGAUGUGAAAUUCCCGGGCUUAACCUGGGGGCUGCAUUUGAUACGUGUGGGCUUGAGUGAGGAAGAGGGUUGUGGAAUUCCCAGUGUAGAGGUGAAAAUUCGUAGAUAUUGGGAAGAACACCGGUGGCGAAGGCGGCAACCUGGUCCUUUACUGACGCUGAGGUGCGAAAGCGUGGGGAGCAAACAGG